rnacentral:rRNA from 1 species
UACAGAGGGGGCAAGCGUUGUUCGGAAUUACUGGGCGUAAGGGCGCGUAGGCGGCUUGAUAAGUCUGCUCUGAAAGCCCGGGGCUCAACCCCGGGAGGCGGGUGGAUACUGUCAAGCUCGAGUCCGGAAGAGGAGUGUGGAAUUCCUGGUGUAGCGGUGAAAUGCGCAGAUAUCAGGAAGAACACCCAGUGGCGAAGGCGGCACUCUGGGACGUGACUGACGCUGAGACGCGAAAGCGUGGGGAGCGAACAGG